UACGUAGGGGGCAAGCGUUGUCCGGAUUUAUUGGGCGUAAAGAGCUCGUAGGUGGUUUGGUAAGUCGGAUGUGAAAUCCCGAGGCUCAACCUCGGGUCUGCAUCCGAUACUGCCCGGCUAGAGGUAGGUAGGGGAGAUCGGAAUUCCUGGUGUAGCGGUGAAAUGCGCAGAUAUCAGGAGGAACACCGGUGGCGAAGGCGGAUCUCUGGGCCGAUUCUGACACUGAGGAGCGAAAGCGUGGGGAGCGAACAGG
rnacentral:rRNA from 1 species